GAAGAGAUAGAACCGGUCGGUCAGUUGGGGAUCAGGACGUAAAAAGCGCUCUCCGCCGCUCCGCCGCCCAAGUCCCCUCUGUAUUGCUGCAGCCUCCGCCUGGCUGGAUCCUCAGUCCGCCGCCGCCUCGAUCCGGAAGCAAUCUCUCGUUUUCUUUCUUCUGUGUCGCUAUCGAAGAUCGGUUAACAUCAAUUGAUACUCUUAUCAAGAUACUGAGCAAUAUCUUGGGUCAUGCCAUGCGUCUCAUGCCCGCUCCCGCUUGCAAAGACGGAGGUAAUCUUGACGACCACCAUCCGAACGGCCGACGUGCCAAAGUCCAAACGUGGUUGCACAGAUGGUUACAUUGACUACUAUGAACCCAAGGAGCACCUCGCAGCCUCGCUCACCAGCGCCCGACCUAGAAACAGAAGCGGUGGCGCCCAGGAAGCCACACGACGGCGGCGCCCAGGUAGCCAGCUAUUGAAGAUCGGUUAACAUCAAUUGAUACUCUUGUCAAGAUACUGAGCAAUAUCUUGGGUCAUGUGUCUCAUGCCCGCUCCCGCUUGCAAAGACGGAGCUAAUCUUGAUAACCACCAUCUGAACGGCCGGCGUGCCAAGUCCAAACGUGGUUGCGCAGAUGGUUACAUUGACUACUUUGAACCCAAGGAGCACCUAUUAAUUUGCUCAUGUGCCUUCGGCUAUAUAUUUGCAAUGUGUGUUUUCUGCUUUACUGUGUUGUACACUCCAGUCGCGUCUGGCACAGCUAACUUGACCCGGGGACCCGGCGACAUCUUCGUCCGACUUAUAGGAAAAAGUGGGCUUGAUCCUGGCACCUCUCCACCUACUUCACUGGCUUUCCGCCUUGCCAUGGACUUUGAUCGGACACCACCAACCUACCGGCGCUGCAGCGGAGGAGGCAACUCGUUGCUGCGCGUCUCCUACCAUGACAUGAUCCUGGCGUGGGCUCAAGUGCCGUAUUUUUGCGUCUAUGGCGACCGGAGCAUUGGCCAUGUAGGCACCUUGGAGGUGGAGGCCAAGGCAGACGCCUCCGUGUUGCGAGAGGAGGUGCGCAACUUGCUUUGGAGCGAGAUUCAGGUCGUGGGUAAGGUCGAGUUCGACGUUGAUGGAGAGGUGGCGGGCCUAGGGUACCUUCGCUGCAAGUUCUUCAUCCUGAAAGAUAAGGCUGCGGAUGUGCCCAAGAGCCUGUGCAUCCUACUCCCUCCGUCCGAAAAUACUUGUCAUCAAAAUGGAUAAAAAGGGAUGCAUCUAGAACUAAAAUACAUUUAGAUACAUCUCCUUUUAUUCAUUUUGAUGACAAGUAUUUCCGGACGGAGGGAGUACAUCAAUAGGCUCGACCUAUGUCUUCUAAUAAAGGGUGUUAUAUAUUCUCCGUUCUGUCACUGGACUAAAUUUACUUUUGUAAUAGCUGCUAUAUUCUGCUUUGAAAUAAAACUUAUUUUCUUCGGAAAA